GAUGAACGCUGGCGGCGUGCCUAAUACAUGCAAGUCGAACGCAUUGUGGUUGAAAUGAUAUGAAGAACUUGUUCAGAUUUGAUUUUCAACAUUGCAAUGAGUGGCGAACGGGUGAGUAACACGUGGGAAACCUACCUCUUAGCAGGGGAUAACAUUUGGAAACAAAUGCUAAUACCGUAUAAUAAUUAAAACCGCAUGGUUUUAGUUUAAAAGAUGGUCUUGCUAUCACUAAGAGAUGGUCCCGCGGUGUAUUAGUUAGUUGGUGAGGUAAUGGCUCACCAAGACAAUGAUACAUAGCCGAGUUGAGAGACUGACCGGCCACAAUGGGACUGAGACACGGCCCAUACUCCUACGGGAGGCAGCAGUAGGGAAUACUUCCACAAUGGACGAAAGUCUGAU
rnacentral:rRNA from 1 species